UAAAGAUUCAUCGCUGAUAGAUAGGCAUGCGUUCCAUUAGGCAGUUGGCGGGGUAACGGCCCACCAAACCGACGAUGGAUAGGGGUUCUGAGAGGAAGGUCCCCCACAUUGGUACUGAGACACGGACCAAACUCCUACGGGAGGCAGCAGUGAGGAAUAUUGGUCAAUGGGCGUAAGCCUGAACCAGCCAAGUCGCGUGAGGGAUGAAGGUUCUAUGGAUCGUAAACCUCUUUUAUAAGGGAAUAAAGUGCGGGACGUGUCCCGUUUUGUAUGUACCUUAUGAAUAAGGAUCGGCUAACCCCGUGCCAGCAGCCGCGGUAAUACGGAGGAUCCGAGCGUUAUCCGGAUUUAUUGGGUUUAAAGGGUGCGUAGGCGGCCUUUUAAGUCAGCGGUGAAAGUCUGUGGCUCAACCAUAGAAUUGCCGUUGAAACUGGGAGGCUUGAGUAUGUUUGAGGCAGGCGGAAUGCGUGGUGUAGCGGUGAAAUGCUUAGAUAUCACGCAGAACCCCGAUUGCGAAGGCAGCCUGCCAAGCCAUGACUGACGCUGAUGCACGAAAGCGUGGGGAUCAAACAGGAUUAGAUACCCUGGUAGUCCACGCAGUAAA
rnacentral:rRNA from 1 species